AUGAGGGAGGCUACUAUACUUCUGGAAGUACGGAGCCUUCUAUGCUUCCAGAUCGUUUUCGAUGUUGCGACUUUCGAAUCGUCGAUCGGCUCCGUUAAACUUGAUCUAGAGUAUUUGAAGUAUCUAGAAAAUAAAUUUUAUAAUUUUUCAAUAUCAUUUGCCUAGUGAUUGAAGAGGCUCAAAAUCACUAAUUUUAAUAGCCGUAAUGAGCCGUUUGCAAGUUUAACAGUUUAGAAAUAUCCAAAUCACGUGAAAUUUUGAUAGAAAAUUUUUUAUACUAUAUAAAACAAGAUCAAUAUCUUUGAUAUAAAAUUUUAAUGUCAUAUUAUCAUGUUUUGUAAAAUUUUUAUUUUCAGCCGUUGAUUUUGAGCCCCUUAGUUUACUAGGCAAAUGAUAUCGAAAAAUAGCAAAAUUUAUUUUCUAGGUACUUCAAAUACUCUAAAUCAAGUUUAACGGAGCCGAUCGACGAUUCGAAAGUCGUAACACCAAAAACGAUCUGGAAGCACGGAAGGCUCCGUG
rnacentral:lncRNA from 1 species